AUUUCAACCUCAUAUAUUUGUCUGGUUAAGAGUCGUCACACCAUAAAAAACCCUUUGUUCUAAAACGCCUCCAGCUAUUGAGCUCCCAAUUCUCUGUUCAUGUGCUGUAGCACAACUUCCAUUUUCUUGGACACCUAUUUGAACUUUUUCGAUAUUCUUUGUUGGGUAUCUUUCAGUUUCUUGAAUUGCACCCUGCGCCAGACAUAGACAUAAUCCUGAUCCGGGUAUAGGUUGUUUUGUGGGGCUCUUUUAAGCUUGGAAAGAAAAUGGUGGGAGCUUUAUCCAUGGUAGGCUCAUCUAUGGUGGACUCACACACUAGUCCUUGUUUGUGUUUGGAUGCACUGCCUAUGAGUAAUAUGAAUCUCAAAAAUAGUGGAGAGUUGGUUUGGCAAAGGAAUUCAGUGAAGAGAAAGAAACUGUGGAGGCCAGGGUCAUUGGAGCUGGGGAGUUCUUUUGUGGAAUCAUGGCAUGAUUGGAGGCUCUCAUCGAAAGCGAUUUCAGGUAUUGUUAGUGAUAAGAGUUCAAGGAAGCAGAGAAAGGAUCGGAGACUUGUGGUUGUCUACGAAUUGGGAGGGCAAUAUGAAGAUAGUUUUGAGGAUGUGAAAACGCAAAUACUCAACUAUUUCACAUACAAGGCAACAAGAACUGUUCUUAACCAGCUCUAUGAGAUGAAUCCAACGCAAUAUAGAUGGUUUUAUGAUUUUGUUGCAACAAAUAAGCCUGGAGAAGGCAAGCGUUUCAUCCGCACCCUUGUGAAGGAGAAGCAGGACCUUGCUGAAAGAGUGAUGGUAACGAGGCUCCACUUGUAUGGAAAAUGGGUUAAGAAAUGUAAUCAUGCUGAAAUAUAUCAAGAGAUCUCUGAUGAGAACUUGGAGUUAAUGCGUGAAAGGCUCAAAGAGACUGUGAUAUGGCCAUCAGAUGACUCAAACACGGAGAAGAUAGGUUGAAGGGGAGCAACUGUGCUUUAAGUUCUCUUUCAUUUUCUUUCUACUGUUGUUUCUGGAGUAGAUAUAUACACAUUGUAUCUUUGGUUUAAUGCCAACCGGUUUGGUUCCAAAGACAUAUUCCUAUUAUUUUUCACCAGCUAAAAAGAAAUGUUGAAAAUAUAGAUAUAAAUAUACCCUACCAUACUGAAUAGUUGCUGCAGAAAGAGAGAAAAUAAGCAAAUGUACAGUAAUGA
rnacentral:misc_RNA from 1 species